AGUUAACGUAGCAUAACCUGGUAUUGCAAAAGACCUAAACCCUUUCUAUGGAGACUCAAAUUCUCUCGUUAAUU
rnacentral:tRNA from 1 species